AUCGUCCUUCGUCUCCUCGAUGUUGUUGGUCCUUCCUGGAUAUCCAGGGUUCCGCUUUCCUUACCUUCGCUUUCUUCCUUGUAUUUCUUGAUCUACCGAAUUUCUUGGAUACCGCGUCCGAUCCGAGAGCUUGGUGGUUGAAUAUAUAUCGUGUGCUCCAUUCCCCUGGACGAUAUCCAGGUGAAGAUGUAUGGAUUUGAAGCCCUAACGUUCAACAUCCAUGGAGGGUAUCUGGAGGCGAUCGUCCGGGGCCACAGGUCUGGCCUGCUCACUGCCGCCGACUACAACAAUCUCUGCCAGUGCGAAACACUAGACGACAUCAAAAUGCACCUCUCCGCCACCGAAUAUGGGCCCUACCUCCAGAACGAGCCUUCUCCUUUACAUACAACUACAAUUGUCGAGAAAUGCACUCUGAAACUGGUUGAUGAAUACAAACAUAUGUUAUGCCAAGCCACUGAGCCGUUGUCAACUUUUUUGGAGUAUAUAACGUACGGUCACAUGAUUGAUAAUGUUGUCCUCAUUGUCACUGGGACCUUGCAUGAGAGAGAUGUUCAGGAAUUAUUAGAAAAAUGCCAUCCUUUGGGUAUGUUUGACAGCAUUGCAACCCUUGCUGUUGCACAAAACAUGCAUGAGCUAUACAGAUUAGUUCUUGUUGAUACACCACUGGCUCCAUACUUCUCAGAGUGCAUCACAUCUGAGGACUUGGAUGACAUGAAUAUUGAAAUUAUGAGGAACACACUCUACAAAGCUUACCUCGAGGAUUUUUACAAAUUCUGUCAGAAACCAGGAGGAGCAACUGCUGAGAUAAUGUCUGAUCUCCUUGCUUUUGAAGCUGAUAGAAGAGCUGUCAAUAUCACCAUAAACAGUAUUGGCACGGAGUUGACUAGAGAUGAUCGACGGAAGCUUUAUUCCAAUUUUGGCUUGUUGUAUCCAUAUGGUCAUGAAGAACUUGCUGCAUGUGAGGAUAUUGAUCAGUGUGUAUGCCACUACCUUUUUCAAGCAAAAGAAAUAUGCCGUAGUCCAAGCGCUUCCCCUUCCGUGAUAGGAUCGUAUGCUAUUCCAUGGGAGAUGCUGAUGUCCUGGCACUCAUGAUGUGAGAGGGCACAUGUCCGGAUCUGGCUUCCUUUGGCCCUUCUGCUAUCUUGAGCAGCAGUCAGAGCGAUGGAAUUGGCCAACUUUAGCCUUUUUUUUUUUGUUAUCCUUUUCUCUAUUCAAUUUUGCUGUCUGUUUUUGGCGUCAUAUUGUGUUUUUGCAUGUCCGCAACCACUUUUGACAAAAGAGACCUUGGAUUAGCAUUCGAUGAUGCGGGGACUUAAGAGUAGAUCCAAGUAAUAUGCUAUUAAUUUUUGUGCUAUUCAAUUUCAAAGGACAAGAUUGUCAACAUAUGACCACCAUGUUUUAAUCAACAGUAAUGACCUUAUCAAUGCUAUUUUCAAUCUUUAAAUUUUUCACUGUGCUUUCUUUGCCAGCAUACAGUAAUUUGGAUUAUUCCUUUUGUUCUGUAAGGUCUAUAAAAGGGUGAUACAUAUGCCAUGGCCAUGUCCUAUCUUAAGUGUAUGAUUUUUGCAGGUUCGUGCUGUUAUGGAGAAAUAUCCUCCAUAUCAAUCAAUUUUUGCUAAGUUGUCUUAUGGUGAAAGCCAGAUGCUGGACAAGGCAUUCUAUGAGGAGGACGUGAAAAGGCUCUGCCUGGCUUUUGAACAGCAGUUCCAUUAUGGUGUGUUCUUUGCAUACAUGAGAUUGAGGGAGCAGGAGAUCAGGAACCUGAUGUGGAUAUCUGAAUGCGUUGCACAGAAUCAGAAGUCCCGGGUCCAUGACAGUGUGGUCUUCAUUUUCUGAGUACUCCUCGUUCAGAUCAAACUUUCAAGAUAAAUCAGGAGACACAGCCCUUCAUCUUAUAUUUUGGCUGUAAAACAAUACUCUUGGACUGUUGAUUGUUGCAAAGAACUGAUGAUAUAUCAUUUAUCAUGGCAUGACCAACAUAAUAUGUAAACCAUUUUGUUUAUGCAAAAAGUGCCAUACUUGUAAACAGCUUUGUAAUGGCUCAGGGAUUAUUUAAUAUGUGUGGGGUUUUGUUUAAUCA